CCUCGUACCUUUUGCAUCAUGGUCUAACUAGUUUACCCAAGCAAAACGAAUUUUAAGUUUGCCCCCCCGAAACUAAGCGAGCUACUUCAAAACAGCCUUAUGGGCCAACCCAUCUCUGUUGCAAAAGAGUGGGAAGAUUUUCAAGUAGAGGUGACACACCUAUCGAGCCUAGAGAUAGCUGGUUAUUCAAGAAAAGGAUAUAGUCCAAUUUUAAACCUCAACACAACCUAAAAUAUACCCCUAGUUUUAAAAUUUAUUCAAAUAAGGUACAGCCUAUUUGAAACAGGAUACAACCUAUUAGGCAGGGUAAUGUUUUACUAUAUGACAAAGUAGGCCUAAGAGCAGCCACCUUAUAAAAAGCGUUACAGCUUCACCAUACACAUCACUAAUCCCAACUAAAACUCAAAACCCUCUCUCAAUAUUGAAUGACCCCAUACUUAUAUGGAAAACCUUAUGUUAGAACUAGUAACAAGAAUAAAUUCUCCACCAAAAGCACGUGUAAGCCGGAAUGAACUAUUCACCGGCACUUACCGCUAAUGAAUAAAUGGUAGCAACAACACAAGAAAACCCUACUCACCCAAGCGUUAACCUCACACCAGAGCUUUCCCGGAAGAUUAAAAGAAGGGGAAGGAACUCGGCAAAUAGUAACCCCGCCUGU
rnacentral:rRNA from 1 species